AGGGCACCACCAGGAGUGGAGCCUGCGGCUUAAUUUGACUCAACACGGGGAAACUCACCCGGCCCGGACACCGGAAGGAUUGACAGAUUGAUAGCUCUUUCUUGAUUCGGUGGAUGGUGGUGCAUGGCCGUUCUUAGUUGGUGGAGCGAUCUGUCUGGUUAAUUCCGAUAACGAACGAGACUCUAGCCUAUUAAAUAGACGUCGGGUUCUCUGCACUCGACGGUCUUCUUAGAGGGACAAGGUGCUUUUAGCACCGCGAAACAGAGCAAUAACAGGUCUGUGAUGCCCUUAGAUGUCCGGGGCCGCACGCGCGCUACACUGAAGUGAUCAGCGUGCAUUUUCAGCCUACUCUGCCAAGAGUGGGAAACCCAAUGAACCUUCUUCGUGAUUGGGAUAGGAGAUUGUAAUUAUUCUCCUUGAACGAGGAAUUCCCAGUAAGCGCGAGUCAUAAGCUCGCGUUGAUUACGUCCCUGCCCUUUGUACACACCGCCCGUCGCUACUACCGAUUGAAUGUUUUAG
rnacentral:rRNA from 1 species